GAUGAACGCUGGCGGCGUGCCUAAUACAUGCAAGUAGAACGCUGAAGGAAGGAGCUUGCUCUUUCCGGAUGAGUUGCGAACGGGUGAGUAACGCGUAGGUAACCUGCCUGGUAGCGGGGGAUAACUAUUGGAAACGAUAGCUAAUACCGCAUAACAGUGGAUGUUGCAUGAUAUCUACUUAAAAGGUGCAAUUGCACCACUACCAGAUGGACCUGCGUUGUAUUAGCUAGUUGGUGAGGUAACGGCUCACCAAGGCGACGAUACAUAGCCGACCUGAGAGGGUGAUCGGCCACACUGGGACUGGGACACGGCCCAGACUCCUACGGGAGGCAGCAGUAGGGAAUCUUCGGCAAUGGACGGAAGUCUGACCGAACAACGCCGCGUGAGUGAAGAAGGUUUUCGGAUCGUAAAGCUAUGUUGUAAGGGAAGAACGGGUGUGAGAGUAGAAAGUUCACACUGUGACGGUAUCUUACCAGAAAGGAACGGCUAACUACGUG
rnacentral:rRNA from 1 species